AUCAUCACAGCUUCCAGUCUGUUGAAUUCAAAACGGAAUUUCUCAAGAAUAAACAUCAAAUAAAAUGACGGGUGUGUAGUGCAAAGAGAAUGGUAAUCGUCUCAGGAAGAUCACAGGGGAAAUUUAGUAUCAUUUAAUAUGUUUGUUGUACUAUAUAUAAAAGGAUGAAGGGGAAAAGAGACGAGUAAAAGCAGUAUUAUAGCUUGCUCCGUUUACUGCUGAAGGAUAAAGGACCCAAGGGGUUCGAUCGAGUCCAGGGACAAGGCCACCAGUUAACAGUGUCCACGUGGUGUAUCUUAUCAGUGAAUUCGGUUGUACAGCUGUCAAAGCGACCUGUUUCGAACAGAUCGGACGCCCGGUCUGGCCGAUAC